UGCUAAUAUUCUUAAGAUCUAAAGGAUCAAAAUAAAAUUCUCUCUCACUCCCUCACCACCCUCUCCCUCACGCCACUCUCUCUCUUUCUCCCGGCAAGAAUCACCAUUAAUGAAACCUUCAAGCUUCCUAAAUCAAUUCUAUGUGAGUAACCUCCUUUGAACCAAUCCCUAAAACACCUUAUACACUUGAAUCAAGAGAUCUUGGAAGAAUUAGAGCUUGGAGUCUAGAGUGAAGAAAUUCUACUUCUCUCAAAAUCCUUGAAUACGAGCAGAGGACGGAAGUAAGAUCACCCAAGUACUACGAGAGUAAGCUAAGUUUGCCAGGUGGGCAUUAUUUUGAGUAUACAUAUUAUACGAGCUUUCUUAAAUGAUAUGAUAUUUAUGAUUAUGAUUUGAGUUAAUGUUAUGCUUGAAACUAAUUGACUUGUCGAGUUUUGUUGAUAAUGACUUGUGUGUUACCCUCUACUGACGAGACGAAUUCGGUCCUGCCACAAGCGGAAUUUUGUGCACAGAGGUGACUGUGGCCGUUUAUCGGGUCGGCCGGUCACGGUACUUGAAAGGAAGGCCUACUUCUCAGUAGCUUUAAUGAUGAGUUGUAGAUGUGGUACAUACAUGCUGAGUAUUUUGACUGCAGUCGCUUAUGAUUUACAACUGCUUACUCAGGAUAAGCGAGGAGGAGGAAGAUCGGUCUGGUGCUGGCGGGGACUUAAUUUGGACGACGUUGUUUCUUUAUCGCAUUUCUACUUCAUACGGUAGCCUUUUGAGGUUGGAUGUUUAUAUUUUGAACUUAAUCAGGAAAUACACUCCAGGCUAUAUGUCUUUAUACAUAUAGUCUGGUCACAUUUUGCUGCGAGACUCUGUAAAUUAUAAACCUUUGUAAAUAUUUAACUAUGUCCGCUUUGUAAACUUUGUCGAGAAUCCCUGUACUUUUGAACUUAUGAAAUCGAUAAUAUUUGUGUCUUUGAGAUGA